CGCGUAGGUGGUAGUGUAAGUCUGGGGUGGAAUGCCGGGGCUUAACCCUGGAAUUGCCUUGGAAACUGCAUUACUUGAGUCAGUGAGGGGAGAGUAGAAUUCCUGGUGUAGCGGUGAAAUGCGUAGAUAUCAGGAGGAAGGCCUGUGGCGAAGGCGGCCCUCUGGUGCUGGACUGACACUGAGGCGCGAAAGCGUGGGGAGCAAACAGGAUUAGAUACCCUGGUAGUCCACGCCCUAAACGGUGGGCACUAGGUGUAGGGCUCGUAAGGGUUCUGUGCCGAAGGGAAACCAUUAAGUGCCCCGCCUGGGGAGUACGGCCGCAAGGUUGAA
rnacentral:rRNA from 1 species